rnacentral:lncRNA from 1 species
GGAAAACCUGAGGGUAUAGAGAUUUGGCUUUUAUCUUGUGGGUAAUGCAGAGUCACGAAAGGGUUUUGAUCAGGUUUGGAAAUUAGAAAGAUCAUCCCCAGUGCAGAAAAUGAAUCACGGGGGAAAGACUGGAGGCAGGAAGACCAAUGAGGAGAUGGCUGCAGAUGUCAAGGUGAGACAUGGUGGGGCCUGAGCUAAGGCCUGUCAAGCAAGGAAGGGAGCACAGGUGAGAGGCCAGACAGCUGAAUAAGCAAAAUUGAGCCA